rnacentral:rRNA from 1 species
GGGCGCAAGCCUGAUGCAGCCAUGCCGCGUGUGUGAAGAAGGCCUUCGGGUUGUAAAGCACUUUCAGCGGGGAGGAAGGCGGUGAGGUUAAUAACCUCAUCGAUUGACGUUACCCGCAGAAGAAGCACCGGCUAACUCCGUGCCAGCAGCCGCGGUAAUACGGAGGGUGCAAGCGUAAUCGGAAUUACUGGGCGUAAAGCGCACGCAGGCGGUCUGUCAAGUCGGAUGUGAAAUCCCCGGGCU